GAGUUUGAUCCUGGCUCAGAUUGAACGCUGGCGGCAUGCCUUACACAUGCAAGUCGAACGGCAGCAUGAUCUAGCUUGCUAGAUUGAUGGCGAGUGGCGAACGGGUGAGUAAUACAUCGGAACGUGCCCUGUAGUGGGGGAUAACUAGUCGAAAGAUUAGCUAAUACCGCAUACGACCUGAGGGUGAAAGUGGGGGACCGCAAGGCCUCAUGCUAUAGGAGCGGCCGAUGUCUGAUUAGCUAGUUGGUGGGGUAAAGGCUCACCAAGGCGACGAUCAGUAGCUGGUCUGAGAGGACGAUCAGCCACACUGGGACUGAGACACGGCCCAGACUCCUACGGGAGGCAGCAGUGGGGAAUUUUGGACAAUGGGCGAAAGCCUGAUCCAGCAAUGCCGCGUGUGUGAG
rnacentral:rRNA from 1 species